GCCCGGGUGGCGAAACAGGCAGCCGCGGCGGACUUAAACUCCGCUGCCCCCUAGUGGGACGUGCAGGUUCGAGUCCUGCCCCGGGCA
rnacentral:tRNA from 1 species